rnacentral:rRNA from 1 species
ACAUGCAAGUCGAACGAAGUAGCAAUACUUAGUGGCAGACGGGUGAGUAACAUGUAGGUAUCUACCCUAUGGUUUGGAAUAACACGAGGAAACUUGUGCUAAUACCAAAUAAGUCUUUACAGAGAAAGCUUUAUGCGCCAUUGGAUGAGCCUGCACUUGAUUAGUUUGUUGGUGGGGUAAUGGCCUACCAAGACAAUGAUCAAUAGCUGAUUUGAGAGGAUGAUCAGCCACAUUGGGACUGAGACACGGCCCAAACUCCUACGGGAGGCAGCAGUGGGGAAUCUUGCACAAUGGGGGAAACCCUGAUGCAGCGAUGCCGCGUGAGUGAAGAAGGCCUUUGGGUUGUAAAGCUCUUUCGUCGGGGAAGAAAAUGACUGUACCCGAAUAAGAAGGUCCGGCUAACUUCGUGCCAGCAGCCGCGGUAAUACGAAGGGACCUAGCGUAGUUCGGAAUUACUGGGCUUAAAGAGUUCGUAGGUGGUUAAAAAAGUUGGUGGUGAAAUCCCAGAGCUUAACUCUGGAACUGCCAUCAAAACUUUUUAGCUAGAGUAUGAUAGAGGAAAGUAGAAUUUCUAGUGUAGAGGUGAAAUUCGUAGAUAUUAGAAAGAAUACCAAUUGCGAAGGCAGCUUUCUGGAUCAUUACUGACACUGAGGAACGAAAGCAUGGGUAGCGAAGAGGAUUAGAUACCCUCGUAGUCCAUGCCGUAAACGAUGUGUGUUAGACGUUGGAAAUUUAUUUUCAGUGUCGCAGCGAAAGCAGUAAACACACCGCCUGGGGAGUACG